CUUUGUUUUGCACCGAAACAGCAGAGGAGUGCUUAAGCAAGCACAGACAUCAGCUGAUACAGAGCAAUUCUGAGUCUGUUGCCAGAGUAGCUGUAUGAUUCACAGCUCCUGCUGCACAAAGGAAGAGUUCAGUCUUCCCUGAGAAUCAGGCUCAUCCUUGGUACUCUGUUUCAAGGUUUCCAGAUAUUUCAGGAAGAAAACAGAACCUCUGGAGAGACCAAGAGGAAUGAUCUGAAAAUUAAGGCAAAGAUUGUAACUUAAGUGUAACUUAAGUGAAAAUUUGUCUUGAAGAGCAAAUAUGUCUGAUGCUAGUUAAUAUUGAGUCCUACUGCAUUUAUAUACUCCUGAACAGUUGAGUUCAGCAUAGAGGAAUGACAAAGAAUGAAGAGUGAAAGAUCUACUUCAGUAAAAUAUUCAAGAAGUGUUUUGUGAAUGCACGAAAUGGAUCCCUGUGGAGAUGGAGAAUGAGAUGAAGAGAAAUCAGAAAGACUGAUUAUGCUGAAACCAGUGCUACAAAAGAGGAUGCUUGAAAGGACAAGUGUGUUUCUCAGCCACUUGUCCUUCAAACAACAUGAUUGUCCUUGUAUGUAUCUGCUUCAUCCAGUUUAUCAGCAUCUCUCUUGAUAAACAUGUAUUUCCACAGUCAUUCAGUGAGUCAACAUGUUUGGAAACAAAACGCAGCAUUCCUUCUUGUUCAAAUGAAACAAAGAUUCAGGAAUUACUUACUAUACCUGACUUUUGUGUCUCAUCCAAAUUGAAGAUGCUAAGCACUCCUGGCACUGAAAACAAACAAAAAUCUGCACAGUUAAGGCAGAGAGUGGGAAUUGAAACUGGAAAAUCUGGAUGGUGAGAAAAUUAACAGGAACAACAAAAUGUAUUAGAUCAUGAUAAAAUUAUUUGUCUCACAGCCAUAAACAAUGUAAAGGGGAUUUAAUAAUUGUUUUGUCAAGAAGACCUUGUUGUAGACAAAGACUCAUGCAAUAACUGUUGUAAAGGUACACCACAAAACAAGAAAGCAUUCUCUGACUGCAGCAGAGUUACAAAUGUACAUGUAAAUGCGUAUGCAAUCCGAGAAACUGAUUGCAACUAUCAAUAGGGAUUUCUGUGAACAUCUGAUCACACGUGCAGUGUAACAAAUACAUUGGGCACAGAUAGUAAGUAGAGAGUCCAAACUCUAACUCAUAGAAUGAAAAACUCAUCUUGUCACCAAAAGAUAGGUUUAAUUUUUUUCCUUAUUUCCUUGUUUCCUUUUUUUUUUUUUUUUUUUUUUUUUUUUUUUAGAAGUGAAGCCAAACAGUUUCAGGAGGAGCAGAACUAACAUAUCCAGAUUUCAUAUGGAUUUUUUUCAUAUGGAUCCCAUCCCUUAUGUUUUCUUCCUUGUCUCCACUGCUACCCUGUAUGUUUUGCUGAGUUAAAACAGCAGCACAUAUGUAUAGUUAGAAAAUAAUCAUAAUGUGCUGACUUACUGGCUGAGUGUUACCACUUGAUUACAUAAGAGCCCGAGUUAUAAGUUUUUAUUUAAUGAUCUACUCAGCCAAGUAUUAAUACAACUUGUAAGAAUUUAAUUUAAGGCAAUCCCUUGUGUCAGACUCAAUUGAAUAUGGUUAAUAUAUUUAAAAGUUGGAGGGGAGAACAGUGCUGCACCAGAAAGUCAAUCUGACUGAGGCAACAGAGCAUCUUACAAGCACCACAGGGAAGUGUACUCUUCCUCAUUAAAACUGCAGCAUAAGGUCUCUGAGGAAUGGGAUAUUCUGUUAUGUUUCAUUGCUGGGUAGCAGAGGAGUGGUCUGACAAAAUGGCGUCUUACAUGGAAGUUUGUAUAAAGCAAAGGUGUGUCACUGAAUUCCUUUGUGUGGAAAAAAUGGCACCUCCUGACAUUCAUCAACACUUGCUGAAGGUUUAUGGAGACCUAACAGUGGAUGUGAGCACAGUGAAGUGGUGUGUUUCAGCAGUGUUGACAGUGAUGCGAAAGAACAGCUCAUUCAGCUAUAGGCUAGAUCACUUAAGCUCUCUUGGGCUUCACGAUUGAAAUGUAUGUAUUCUUGUAAUAGAGAAUAGAUUGGAAAACCAGAGUAACCUCCAGUUUAUAAUGGUUUGUGCAUUCUUUGUAAUUGUGGAUUUGAAACAAAAAACUGUGCUCCCCUCAAUCCUCCCCAGCUAAAGAGCUUCUCUGUAAGAAAUAGUGUAUAUGCUCUAAGUCUGUUUUCAUAACAGAUUUGAAUCUCUUAUGUUUCUAUAAUAUUCAGUUUAUUCAAAUUAUCCUUCAUUUGAAUAAUGCUUUAUAAUUUGUUGUAGAUGUAACGCAAGCUGCCUAUGAAAAUUUCAAACUAACUUUGUUUUUCAGAGUCACUCUUUGACUUUUUUUGUUCUUUUUUUUUUAAAUUAUUUUUCUUAAUACAUCUUAUUCUGAUUUUCUUGGCUUAGUUUUUAUUUCUUUGUUUUCUGUUGUUACAAUUUAAGCAUUUUGUCCAGUCUUUGUGAAAGCAGUGUAAUCAAUUCAGUAUAGCAUUAAAAUAAUUCAGUGUAUAAUUAACUUCAGGUUUUUCAAUACUUUCUUUUGAUAUGAUGUACAAAGUUAUUUCCCUUAUGAAUUUCAAUAAGUUAAAGCUCUUCAGUGCUUAAUGAAACAUUAAAGAAAAAAUGGUGUAUCACACUAGCAGUAUUUUCUACCAUCUCCAUCUUUAAAACAAGUGGCAAAUCCAUGCAUGUAACUUCUGCAUUUCCUAACUAUGUUUAUGGAGUAUAAGGAAUAAAUACAAACACCAUCUAACUGCU
ensembl:lncRNA